GCUAGCGAUUUGGUUCGUCGGAUUCGGCUUUGCCCCCCUCCCUUUUUGUUAUUCCUGUGAUCUGUUAGGUAGGGAGUUGGUUUUGUCUGUCAGAUCUGAUGAUUGUAUCCAUCCCCCACAGCUUUUUUCCAUGUAGAUUUGUUAGGUUCCGCCAUUUCAGGGAUGUGUUUGAUUGUUCUACUAAGCACGGUAGCUGCGGUAGCUCGGAUGUGCGUCAGUUUGAUCUGCUUAUCUGUAAUUGAUUGGUUGUUGGAAUUCGAGCUGUUCAUGUGAGGCUGGCUUGCUUAGUUGUAAUAGUCUGAUGUAUUCAGUCAAUUCGAACAGAUGCAUUCUGUUCCCCGGCCUUUAAUCCCUAGACCAUUUCUCUUCACUGGUAUCGUUUAGUGGGUAUGUGGCUUACUCUGUAAUUCCUAUUUUUGGAUUUACAGUGGUUCACAGUGCAACCCCCAUUGUUUUUUAGAGUGAUUUUCAGUGUAUUCAUACUGGAUUUUCAUUGAUUUUCACUGUAAUCUGUAGUUGAUUUCCAGUGUAAUUUUCCAGUGGAUAGGUAGUAUAUUUGUAGUGUAAAUCCAAAGCAAUUUGUAGUGUAAUCCCCGGUUAUUUUACAGUGUAAUUUCAGUGUAUUUUGUCAGCGGAUUUGCAUUGUAUUUGCUACUGGAAUGACAAUGUAUAUGUCCUAAUAGCAGUGUAUUUUUGUCGGUGGGGUUGCACUGUAUUUGUUAGUAGAAUUACAAUGUAUUUGUCAGGGAUGUACAGUGUAAUUUGAUAGCUGAUUUACAGUGUAAUUGCCAUGGAUUUGCACUGUAUUCGCUCGUGGAAUUACUGUGUAAUUCACUUGAAUUUUUAUAAUGGAAUUGCGUUUUGGAUUUAUAGUGUUUUUGUCAGUGAAUUUACACUGUAAUUGAGUAGCAGAGGAAUUGUGACUGUUCUUCUGAUGCAUCGCUAGUUUGUGUGUUCUUGUGAUGCAUCUGAUUCCAGUGUAUUUUGUUAGAGGAUUUAGACUGUAAUUAUAUUUGGAUUUACACUGUAAUCUUCAUCGGAAUUCCAGUGUAUUUUUCUUAGUGGGUGAUUACAGUGUAUUUACAAUGUAACUCAGUUGGUUUCCACUGUAAUUCGCAGGGGAUUUCUUCACUGUAAUUCUCAGUGGGUUAUGUAGUGAAAUAAAAGAGAUGUAGA
rnacentral:lncRNA from 1 species